ACCAGCAUGGCAUAGUGAUUAGAGUGCUGGACUAUGACUCUGGAGACCUGGGUUCAAUUACCCAAUUGGCC